AGGCCUGGCCGGUGCCAUGCUGUCAGGAAACAGUCGGACAGGGCAAUAAAUGUCAGCACAAACAUUUUUUUUAUAAAAAGUUUGGCGGUUACGUUGAAAGAGCGUAACUUUGCCAAAACUUCAUUCAAUUCUGGGCUUGUAUGGAUUUGACGGCAAGACGAAAUUGUAUGUAAGCACGCGGAGCCUCGUUGGCUUGCUCCAUAAUCUGAGUGAACAACAAUUUAAUUGGCGAAAACAAUUACGCUCUCGCUGCCUAAUCGAAGUACAGUAGAUUACUGGCUUAAUCCCUGCGCCAGGCGCGGGGACGGGACAUCGCUCCGAGGAUCUUUUUCCGAAUCCGGAGAGUAAGCGGUGCAGAAUUCAAUCGGGAAUAGUCACGGGUGGCCCCACACCCCUGAUGAAAUGCUUUUAGGGGAUAAGACGGCAGUUGGUGGUCCGGGUCUUGCUGUCGUACGAAAAUGAAGGCCGGAAUAAGCGUGUAGAAAGCAUAUGGCUUCCUUGUUCGGACCGGGGUUCGACUCCCCGCAGGUCCAC
rnacentral:tmRNA from 1 species